rnacentral:rRNA from 1 species
GACGAACGCUGGCGGCGUGCCUAACACAUGCAAGUCGAACGGAGUUGAGGGAGCUUGCUUCUUCAACUUAGUGGCGAACGGGUGAGUAACGCGUGAGAAACCUGCCUCUCAGUGGGGGACAACAGUUGGAAACGACUGCUAAUACCGCAUAACACUUUAGUACCGCAUGGUACAGAAGUCAAAGCUUUAUGUGCUGAGAGAUGGUCUCGCGUCUGAUUAGAUAGUUGGUGAGGUAACGGCUCACCAAGUCGACGAUCAGUAGCCGGUCUGAGAGGAUGAACGGCCACAUUGGGACUGAGAUACGGCCCAG